rnacentral:misc_RNA from 1 species
UCUCCGUUGGUGAACCAGCGGAGGGAUCAUUAAAGAGUCGUAAAAAACUCCCAAACCCAUGUGAACUUACCUCUGUUGCCUCGGUGGGCCGCGCGGCAAGAGCUACCCUGUAGCAGGCGCCUCCCGCGGGCCACCGACGGAACUCCAAACUCUUGUUAACCAGUGUCAUCUCUGAGUACAACUUUUAAAUAAGUCAAAACUUUCAACAACGGAUCUCUUGGUUCUGGCAUCGAUGAAGAACGCAGC